UACAGGGGGUGCAAACGUUGCUCGGAAUCAUUGGGCGUAAAGCGCACGUAGGCGGUUCGUUAUGUCGGAUGUGAAAGCCCUUGGCUUAACCGAGGAAGUGCAUCCGAAACUGGCGAGCUAGAGUACGAAAGAGGAUCGCGGAAUUCCCGGUGUAGAGGUGAAAUUCGUAGAUAUCGGGAGGAACACCUGUGGCGAAAGCGGCUCACUGGACCGCAACUGACGCUGAGGCGCGAAAGCUAGGGGAGCAAACAGGG
rnacentral:rRNA from 1 species